CACGUAGGACGCGAGCGUUAUCCGGAGUUACUGGGCGUAAAGCGCGGGCAAGCGGUCUGACAAGUCUGAUGUGAAAUCUCCGGGCUCAACCGGGAGAGGCCAUUGGAAACUGACAGGCUGGAGGGCAGUAGAGGUAGGCGGAAUUCCGGGUGGAGUGGUGAAAUGCGUAGAGAUCCGGAGGAACACCAGAGGCGAAGGCGGCCUACUGGGCUGCACCUGACGCUGAGCCGCGAAAGCCAGGGGAGCGAACGGG
rnacentral:rRNA from 1 species